CCUACGGGUGGCUGCAGUGGGGAAUAUUGGACAAUGGGCGAAAGCCUGAUCCAGCCAUGCCGCGUGUGUGAAGAAGGCCUUCGGGUUGUAAAGCACUUUCAGUGGGGAAGAAAGCCUUGGGGCUAAUACCCUCGAGGAAGGACAUCACCCACAGAAGAAGCACUGGCUAACUCCGUGCCAGCAGCCGCGGUAAUACGGAGGGUGCGAGCGUUAAUCGGAAUUACUGGGCGUAAAGCGCGCGUAGGCGGUCUGAUAAGCCGGUUGUGAAAGCCCCGGGCUCAACCUGGGAACGGCAUCCGGAACUGUCAGGCUAGGGUGCAGGAGAGGAAGGUAGAAUUCCCGGGGGAGCGGUGAAAGGCGUAGAGAUCGGGAGGAAUACCAGUGGCGAAGGCGGCCUUCUGGACUGACACUGACGCUGAGGGGCGAAAGCGUGGGUAGCAAACAGGAUUAGAUACCCGAGUAGUC
rnacentral:rRNA from 1 species